AUGGCCAAACAUCACUUUUUUUUUUUCCCCUCCUCACCAAUAUUUCUCAUUAUUAAUGGUCUGUUUAAGAUAUUUUCUUUCCAUACAGUGUCUUGUGCGUUUUCCUUGAACCUUGAAGAUGGGAUAGAUGAACCUGCAAGGCAAUUCUUUACAAAGGAAAAGAGGAAUCACCUGUUGUUCAGCAAGGAGACAGGCACCAAGGAGCUCAGCUCCAUCUGAUGUGACAGGUGUACCCUAUCCAGUCAUCAGUUGAAACCCACCAGUGGCAGGGCCUGCAGCUGGGCCCAUUUUCAGCAAGGUAUGCUAUAUUAUAUACAGAAUACAAUUUUUUUUUCUUUUAUAAUGUGCUUUUAAUGUGUCAGGAGUUGUUUAAAUGUUUCUAUGUUAUGAAAAGAUUGUGAAGGUUUUUGUUUAACAACACUUUGAUUAGCGGGCUUGUGGGCAAUUGUAUGGAUGCUGUAGGUGAGAGACAGCUUAUUUGUAUUAUUUUUAAAGGGGUUUUGGUUGGAUUUUGAAUGUU
rnacentral:lncRNA from 1 species